UACGAAGGGUGCAAGCGUUAAUCGGAAUUACUGGGCGUAAAGGGUGCGUAGGCGGUUGUUUAAGUCUGUCGUGAAAUCCCCGGGCUCAACCUGGGAAUGGCGAUGGAAACUGGGCAGCUAGAGUGUGUCAGAGGAUGGUGGAAUUCCCGGUGUAGCGGUGAAAUGCGUAGAGAUGUGGAGGAACACCGAUGGCGAAGGCGGCCUUCUGGACCAAUACUGACGCUCAUGCACGAAAGCGUGGGGAGCAAACAGG
rnacentral:rRNA from 1 species